rnacentral:rRNA from 1 species
UACGAAGGGGGCUAGCGUUGUUCGGAAUUACUGGGCGUAAAGCGUGCGCAGGCGGCUUCUCAAGUCAGGGGUGAAAGCCCAGAGCUCAACUCUGGAAUUGCCUUUGAGACUGAGUGGCUAGAGUUCGGUAGGGGAGACUGGAAUUCCUGGUGUAGCGGUGAAAUGCGCAGAUAUCAGGAGGAACACCGAUGGCGAAGGCAGGUCUCUGGGCCGAUACUGACGCUGGAGGAGCGAAAGCGUGGGGAGCGAACAGG